GUGGGGAAUAUUGCACAAUGGGCGCAAGCCUGAUGCAGCAACGCCGCGUGAGGGACGACGGCCUUCGGGUUGUAAACCUCUUUUAGCAGGGAAGAAGCGAAAGUGACGGUACCUGCAGAAAAGGCACCGGCUAACUACGUGCCAGCAGCCGCGGUAAUACGUAGGGUGCAAGCGUUGUCCGGAAUUAUUGGGCGUAAAGAGCUCGUAGGCGGUUUGUCGCGUCUGCUGUGAAAACCCGAGGCUCAACCUCGGGCCUGCAGUGGGUACGGGCAGACUAGAGUGCGGUAGGGGAGAUUGGAAUUCCUGGUGUAGCGGUGGAAUGCGCAGAUAUCAGGAGGAACACCGAUGGCGAAGGCAGAUCUCUGGGCCGUAACUGACGCUGAGGAGCGAAAGCGUGGGGAGCGAACAGGAUUAGAAACCCCGGUAGUCC
rnacentral:rRNA from 1 species